rnacentral:rRNA from 1 species
AAUAUUGCGCAAUGGCCGAAAGGCUGACGCAGCGACGCCGCGUGGGGGAUGAAGCAUUUCGGUGUGUAAACCCCUGUUGCCCGGGACGAACACGCAGAUUUUUCUGCUCUGACGGUACCGGGUGAGGAAGCAUCGGCUAACUACGUGCCAGCAGCCGCGGUCAUACGUAGGGUGCAAGCAUUAUCCGGAGUGACUGGGCGUUAAGAGUUGCGUAGGCGGUUAGUAAAGCGAAUAGUGAAACCUGGUGGCUCAACCAUACAGACUGUUAUUCGAACUCACUAACUCGAGAGUGGUAGAGGUAACUGGAAUUUCUUGUGUAGGAGUGAAAUCCGUAGAUAUAAGAAGGAACACCAAUGGCGUAGGCAGGUUACUGGACCAUUUCUGACGCUAAGGCACGAAAGCGUGGGGAG